CUGCCCACUGGAUGCUGUCUGUGUGUCUAGUGGCCAUUAUUGAGGGGUAGAGGGACUUGCUAAAACCCAGGUCAGAUGUCAAUCCACUGAGCUUGGAUCCUGUCGUAAGAAACAUGU